rnacentral:rRNA from 1 species
GACGAACGCUGGCGGCGUGCUUAACACAUGCAAGUCGAACGGAAAGGCCCUGCUUUUGGGGGGUGCUCGAGUGGCGAACGGGUGUGUAACACGUGAGUUACCUGCCUUUGACUUUGGGAUAACUUCAGGAAACUGGGGAUAAUACCGGAUGGGAGCUCCGGCUGUAUGGUGGGGGUUGGAAAGUUUCGGCGGUUGGGGAUGGACUCGCGGCUUAUCAGCUUGUUGGUGGGGUUGUGGCUUACCAAGGCUUUGGCGGGUAGCCGGCCUGAGAGGGUGAGCGGCCACAUUGGGACUGAGAUACGGCCCAGCCUCCUACGGGAGGCAGCAGUGGGGAAUAUUGCACAAUGGGCGGAAGCCUGAUGCAGCAACGCCGCGUGCGGGAUGACGGCCGUCGGGUUGUAAACCGCUUUCGCCUGUGACGAAGCGUGAGUGACGGUAAUGGGUAAAGAAGCACCGGCUAACUACGUG